rnacentral:rRNA from 1 species
UACGUAGGGCGCAAGCGUUGUCCGGAAUUAUUGGGCGUAAAGAGCUCGUAGGUGGUUUGUCGUGUCUGGUGUGAAAUCCCGAGGCUCAACUUCGGGCUUGCAUCGGGUACGGGCAGACUAGAGUGCGGUAGGGGAGACUGGAAUUCCUGGUGUAGCGGUGGAAUGCGCAGAUAUCAGGAGGAACACCGAUGGCGAAGGCAGGUCUCUGGGCCGCAACUGACGCUGAGGAGCGAAAGCAUGGGGAGCGAAC